rnacentral:tRNA from 1 species
GGAGCGGUAGCUCAGAUGGAAGAGCGCCCGGUUGAAGCCCGGGAGACACGGAUUCGAGCGCCGUCCGCUCCA